rnacentral:rRNA from 1 species
GUAGUCUACGCCGUAAACGAUGGAUACUAGCAUUCGGAGGUGUCGACCCCUUCGGUAGCGAAGCUAACGCGUUAAGUAUCCCGCCUGUGUAGUACGAGCGCAAGCUUAAAACAUAAAGGAAUUGACGGGGACCCGCACAAGCGGUGGAGCGUGUUCUUUAAUUCGAGGCUAAGCGAAGAACCUUACCAGGGCUUGAAAUCCCGAGAAGUCCGUCGAAAGAUGGAUGUGCCUUUUGGAACUCGGUGACAGGUGCUGCAUGGCCGUCGUCAGCUCGUGUCGUGAGAUGUUGGGUUAAGUCCCGCAACGAGCGCAACCCCUAUGUUUAGUUGGAUUUUUCUAGGCAGACUGCCUCGGUAACGGGGA